rnacentral:misc_RNA from 1 species
AGAAGAAGAAGAAGAAGAGAGAUAAUUAAGAAAGAUGAUGCAGAAUAGCACAACACAGCCCAUGGGGCAUUUAGAUUCCUCUUUCUCCAUUGUUCCCUUUGUUUUAAAUGCCAGAUUUUGAACAAGUGAGGUUACUGUGUUUCUCCUUUGAUUCGUUGUCGUGCAGAUAUGCUAACACAUAUACAUAAAAACCAUUUUCCACUUCUUUUUUUUCUGCUUUUUUUUCACAGUUUUUCCUGAUUUUCCUCCAUAUUGCUUUCCUGCCUUAA